UUUUGAGUUUGCAGUGGAGAUUUGUAUUUUACUCAAAAAAUUCUGAUUACGCAAUAAUAAAUAAAAACAGCAAGAUAUGUUUUUCAUUUGUAAAUGUCCAUUUGGAUUGUAUAUACACAUAUCAAAAUAAAAGGAGAACAUUAAUCGCAAAAAUGCCGGACAAAGCACAUUAUCCAACCAUACCCGACUUGAAAUGGAAUAUUCAAGCUAUACAGAUAGUCUGAUUUGGUGAAAGCACACAAUGUGGUGGAGUUACACUAGUUUUUGGUGCACUUUGGUGUAUCUUUGAUGAGUUUAUUUUCACAUAUUUAGACCAAAGUUGUGAAAUUAAAAAACACAAUAUAAAACCAUUUGGUAUGUUUUUGCAAUGUACAACACUGCGAUCCAAGUAGGAUUCGGCUUAUUUUCAAUGUGUGGAUAAUUUAAAUUUCUUUUUUUGUUGCAGUAGCUAUGAUAAUUAUGUUUACAAUGUAAUUAGUUAUAUAAUAUCAACCAUGAACCAUCCAUUUUUUUUUUCAAAGAAUAACAAGAAAAUGAAAGGUUAUAACAAGGUUAAUUCCACCAUUUUCUACAUAGAGAAAUGCGUGUACUUAGUCAGGAAUAUAUAUGCCAGUUGUUUCCAUUCGUUUGAUGUGUUUGAGCUUUUGAUUUUUUU
rnacentral:lncRNA from 1 species